UGCGAGUCAACGUAGCAAUACGUGGCAUACGGCUCAGUAACACGUAGUCAACAUGCCCAGGGGAUGUGGAUAACCUCGGGAAACUGAGGAUAAACCGCGAUAGACCAUAAUGUCUGGAAUGAUUUAUGGUUCAAAUCUAUAUGGCCCCUGGAUUGGACUGCGGCCGAUCAGGCUGUUGGUGAGGUAAUGGCCCACCAAACCUAAAACCGGUACGGGCUCUGAGAGGAGAAGCCCGGAGAUGGGCACUGAGACAAGGGCCCANGCCCUAUGGGGCGCAGCAGGCGCGAAACCUCUGCAAUAAGCGAAAGCUUGA
rnacentral:rRNA from 1 species